rnacentral:rRNA from 1 species
GUCCUGGCAGUAAACGGUGUACGUUUGGUGUGGGAGGAUUCGACCCCUUCCGUGCCGGAGCUAACGCGUUAAACGUACCGCCUGGGAAGUACGGUCGCAAGAUUAAAACUCAAAGAAAUUGACGGGGGCCCGCACAAGCGGUGGAGUAUGUGGCUUAAUUCGAUGCAACGCGAAGAACCUUACCAGGGUUUGACAUGCAUCUCUAAGGCGGUGAAAGCCGCCGAGUGUAGCAAUACACAAUUUGCACAGGUGCUGCAUGGCUGUCGU